AAGUCGUAACAAGGUUUCCGUAGGUGAACCUGCGGAAGGAUCAUUACAAAUAAAGCUGGUAGGAAGUGGGGUCCUUGAUCUGUAAGUGGUAGACGCGAACAGUCCGCUGCCUCCCGAAAUGUCUUACAUGUCCCCCACAGCCUGAAGGCCGAAUUACAAACCCUUGAUUAUCUACACUUGUGCUUUGGGGUGCAUCAGUGCCCCAGAAGGACCCUAACUCUCUUGCAUUUAGUGACGUCUGAGUACUAUAUAAUAUUUAAAA
rnacentral:misc_RNA from 1 species